UGAGCUGUGCUUUGCGUCUGAUUUUGACUUU
rnacentral:piRNA from 1 species